UAAGGAAUAUUGGUCAAUGGACGAAAGUCUGAACCAGCCAUGCCGCGUGGAGGAUGAAGGUCCUCUGGAUUGUAAACUUCUUUUAUCUGGGACGAAAAAAGGGUUUUCUAACUCACUUGACGGUACCAGAUGAAUAAGCACCGGCUAACUCCGUGCCAGCAGCCGCGGUAAUACGGAGGGUGCAAGCGUUAUCCGGAUUCACUGGGUUUAAAGGGUGCGUAGGCGGGCAUGUAAGUCAGUGGUGAAAUCUCCGGGCUUAACUCGGAAACUGCCAUUGAUACUAUAUGUCUUGAAUUAUCUGGAGGUUAGCGGAAUAUGUCAUGUAGCGGUGAAAUGCUUAGAUAUGACAUAGAACACCCAUUGCGAAGGCAGCUAACUACGGGUAUAUUGACGCUGAGGCACGAAAGCGUGGGGAUCAAAC
rnacentral:rRNA from 1 species